UGGGGUAUAUUGCACAAUGGGGGAAACCCUGAUGCAGCAACGCCGCGUGCGGGAUGACGGCCUUCGGGUUGUAAACCGCUUUCAGCCAUGACGAAGCUUUUGUGACGGUAGUGGCAGAAGAAGCACCGGCUAACUACGUGCCAGCAGCCGCGGUGAUACGUAGGGUGCGAGCGUUGUCCGGAAUUAUUGGGCGUAAAGAGCUUGUAGGCGGUUUGUCGCGUCGAAAGUGUAAACUCAGUGCUUAACGCUGAGCCUGCUUUCGAUACGGGCUGACUAGAGGAAGGUAGGGGAGAAUGGAAUUCCCGGUGGAGCGGUGGAAUGCGCAGAUAUCGGGAGGAACACCAGUGGCGAAGGCGGUUCUCUGGACCUUUCCUGACGCUGAGAAGCGAAAGCGUGGGUAGCAAACAGG
rnacentral:rRNA from 1 species